AUACACACACUCUGCAUUAUAUACAUACUCUGCAUUAUAUACACAGAGUGUGUGUAUAUAAUGCAGAGUGUGUGUUU